GCCCGUGUGGCUCAGUGGUAGAGCGCCUGACUACGAAUAAGGGUUUUUACUCGAUGUUCUUAUCAGGAGGCCCAGGUUUCGAACACCUGCUCGGGUU